UCUCGGCCCCUCCUCCGCAGCGCGCACCUGUCCCGCAGAAAAUAACCACCUAAGACCACAUCUUCAGCAUGUUCUGGACAGAUGUAAACACACUGGGCAUGUGCAGAAUUGUGAAAUUAUCUUGCAAAAAAUGGCAAUAAGAUUGAAAGUGUUCACCAGCCAUGGUGGCGCACACCUGUAAUCCCAGCGCUCUGGAGGCUGAGGCAGGAGGAUCACUUGAAAAUGAUCAUUCCAGGAAAUUAAAUGUCACAUCUUCCCUUGAAUGAGAACUCGCCUGUCUGUCAACUUCUGGAUGCUUUUUCCUGGACUUUUGAGUUUAGAGCUAAAAUCGAGCCCUAAAAUGAACAGGCAGAAAGACACUGAGAUAGUGCGGUACAUGGGGAGAGAAGGGCGCUGGGAUGUUGAAUAUCACACGGCACCAGCCUGCGCCCAUCUCAAGGGCCACACGAUGUGGCACUGCAAGCCAGCCCUGUGCUCUCAGCCUAUCCCCAGAGUCACUGUUCAGUUCACUUUUCCAGAGCCCAGGAGUCUUAAAGGCAUGGUACACUCAGGACAAAGGGGAAUCCUGAGAGGCUUGGUUGUUCUCCUUCUGCCGUAUAUUUUCCUGUAUCUGUGCAGCCUGCCCAAACCACCAUUGCUCAGACCUGGUCAUCCUUUCUGUGCGCUCAGGAGAGGGGACCUUCUUAUGAAUGGACAAUGGACAUCCUCUUAUUCGACUACAUUUCCUACUCCUCUCUGUGAUAUGGUGAUAUUAUAAGAAGUAGAUAUUUGGUUUUUAUUCUUCAUUCCUUGCACACAACUCCUAAAACCCUUGGAGUCUCCAAAAGGUUGAGUGUCUUUUCUGUGCUGAAGAAACGAUUGGUGGCUGCGAGCCCUUAGGUCGCCUCAGGAGGAAACUGUCUCUGUGGCCUGGGUCUCAGCGGGCAGAGAACUGAAACCCAUGGAAAUGGCAGUGUGUGACCUGAGCCAACAGCCUUCAGUUGUGAGGGCUGUAGAGAAAGCAAUGUGACUGGGUGGGGUUAGCUAGGUUUCUUAGGGCCAGAGGGGUAAAGAAUGUUCAGUGAAGAGGCUGGAGGUCACAGGGAGUUUGCUGAUGGAAUGUGAUUCCUGGGGCGGUGGAGGAAAAGUUUGCGAAGAAAGAAGUUGUUUUUGUUUUGUUUUGUUUUGUUUUGUUUGUACAGG